UACGGGGGGGGCAAGCGUUGUUCGGAAUUACUGGGCGUAAAGGGCGCGUAGGCGGGUGGACAAGUCUCUCGUGAAAGCCCACGGCUCAACCGUGGAAUUGCGGGAGAUACUGUCUGUCUUGAGUCCGGGAGAGGAGGGUGGAAUUCCCAGUGUAGCGGUGAAAUGCGUAGAUAUUGGGAGGAACACCGGUGGGGAAGGCGGCUCUCUGGCCCGGUACUGACGCUGAGGCGCGAAAGCUAGGGGAGCAAACGCG
rnacentral:rRNA from 1 species